rnacentral:piRNA from 1 species
UGGGAGUGGAUAACAGUUUGCUUCUGAC